rnacentral:rRNA from 1 species
UACGGGGGGGCAAGCGUUGUUCGGAAUUACUGGGCGUAAAGGGCUCGUAGGCGGCCAACUAAGUCGGAUGUGAAAUCCCCAGGCUUAACCUGGGAACUGCAUCCGAUACUGGAUGGCUUGAAUCCGGGAGAGGGAUGCAGAAUUCCAGGUGUAGCGGUGAAAUGCGUAGAUAUCUGGAGGAAUACCGGUGGCGAAGGCGGCAUCCUGGACCGGCAUUGACGCUGAGGAGCGAAAGCUAGGGGAGCGAACGGG